rnacentral:lncRNA from 1 species
UAAGAGAUGAAGAGAUGAUUGGUCUUAUUUUGCAGAAACCAGAUUAUGCUGCAUGAGAACUAACAUUCCUCAGGAGCCAGAGUGAAUCAGUUAUUGAAUAAUUGCCUGGGAGCCUCCCAAGAUCUAAGUCUGGGAUCUCCCCAGCAGUUGAGGGAGAUUAAUAGAACUAUUAAUAAAAUCACACCAUGCUAAGGAAGGGGGCUAUUUGAGCCUCCAAGGAGUGGCUGGGACCUUGGAAGAUUAUAACUCAUGAUGUUCACCAGUUUCUUCCCCGGUUGCCCUGAGACUGGUGUAUGUCUCAUUCCAGGUUCACGCUGGUCUGGCGUUACUGACAAACUUUGGAAAGGGCUGACAUAGGUAAAAUGCUUUGUUUUAAAUAUGUAGCUGUUUUCUUGGUAUCUCUCCACAGGCUGGAAAAGGACUCAUUCUUUUGAGGUAAUCCGGAGCCAAAUGAACUGAAACUUUUUUC